GAUGAACGCUGGCGGCGUGCCUAAUACAUGCAAGUCGAGCGAACAGACGAGGAGCUUGCUCCUCUGACGUUAGCGGCGGACGGGUGAGUAACACGUGGAUAACCUACCUAUAAGACUGGGAUAACUUCGGGAAACCGGAGCUAAUACCGGAUAAUAUAUUGAACCGCAUGGUUCAAUAGUGAAAGACGGUUUUGCUGUCACUUAUAGAUGGAUCCGCGCCGCAUUAGCUAGUUGGUAAGGUAACGGCUUACCAAGGCGACGAUGCGUAGCCGACCUGAGAGGGGGAUCGGCCACACUGGAACUGAGACACGGUCCAGACUCCUACGGGAGGCAGCAGUAGGGAAUCUUCCGCAAUGGGCGAAAGCCUGACGGAGCAACGCCGCGUGAGUGAUGAAGGUCUUCGGAUCGUAAAACUCUGUUAUAGGGAAGAACAAAUGUGUAAGUAACUAUGCACGUCUUGACGGUACCUAAUCAGAAAGCCACGGCUAACUACGUG
rnacentral:rRNA from 1 species